UCCUUCUUAUCGAAGGCAGUUUCUCAAGAGUGCAUCCCUUGCGGGAUUAGCAACAUGAGAUAGGGGUUGCGCUCGUUGCGGGACUUAACCCAACAUCUCACGACACGAGCUGACGACAACCAUGCAGCACCUCUGCAGGCUCCCUUGCGGGUCAGCCCCUGUUUCUAGGGACUUACCACCUGUAGUUCAAGCCCGGGUAAGGUUCUUCGCGUUGCGUCGAAUUAAACCACAUGCUCCACCGCUUGUGUGAGCCCCCGUCAAUUCCUUUGAGUUUUAGCCUUGCGGCCGUACUCCCCAGGCGGAGUGCUAAAUGCGUUAACGACGGCACCGCAGGGGUCAAUACCCGCGACACCUAGCACUCAACGUUUACGGCGUGGACUAC
rnacentral:misc_RNA from 1 species